AUGACAACAACCAGCAGAAAGCCCUCGGUACCGGCUGCCCGGCCCGGGACGAGCCGGGGCCGGGGGACAACGCGGAGAGGGGACACCCGGGGAAGGGGGGGGGACACCCGGAGCAUCCCAUCCCGGUGGCGGCGGAGCUCGGAGACGGGGAAGGAGGGGAGGGGAUGGGGAGGGAGGAGAAGGCGAAAGUUUGGGGCGGUCGCGGCGGUCCCCGCAAGUUGUCCGGCGGUGCCCAUACGUACUCGCUUGCUGUGUGGGUUCCGUCUUUACAUCGGGGUCCCCGGCGGCCGCUUCCUCAGCGGGGCGAGCGGGCGCUGUCCAGCGGCCGGGCGGCGACGGGAGCACCGCGGGGCUCGGUGGUGCCGGUGGUGGUGGUGGAAAAAGAAGAAGAAGAAGAAGAAGAGGAGGCUCCGGAGGAGGUGGCGGCGUUAUCCCGAGUCAUGGAAAAACGGGGCAGCCCCGGCAGCCGGGCGAGGCGAGGGGAGGCGAGGCAGGAGCGGAGGGGCGGUGAGGGGCUGCCGGGCGGGGUGCCCGGGGGGCUGCCGUGCGGAGCAGAGGACGGAGGCGCCUCUCCGCGCUGCUCUCCCGCUCCGUGCCUCCGGACGUCAUUUAUGUGAGAGCAGCCCUAGCGGCCUCUCCAUAGAGCGGCUGGAAUGCGAAACGUCAAUCGUGACGCCAUGGGAGCCUGACGCUGCUCGCCCCCCCCCCCCCCCUCCAGCACCACCUCCCCGCCCCGUGCGGGCCGGGGGUGAGCCCGGAGUCAGGCGGCGGGACGGGGACGGGGACGGGGACGGGGACGGGAGCGGGACGGGAGCGGAGCUCCGGGCUGUGGGACCGGGCGCUAAGGGCUCGGCGCCUUCCUGCUGCCGGUGCCGGGGCUGCUGGGGCUGGGGCUGGGGCUGGCGGCAGCCGGGAGCGCUCCGCUCGGGCUGCCCGGCACGGGGCGCCUGCAGCAGGGAUCGCCGGAGCCUGCUGCCUUCUCCUCCACUUUCUCACUUUUUUUUUCAUUUUUUUUUAUUUUUUUUUAUUAUUUUUAUUUUUUUUCUUUCGUUUUUCCUUUUUUCCCUUUUUCCUUUUUUUCCCCUUUCCUUUUUCCCUUUUCCUUUUUUCCCUUUUCCUUUUUUCCCUUUUACCUUUUUCCCGUUCUCUUUUUCCCCUUUCCCUUUUCCCCCUUUCCCUUUUCCUUUCUUUUUUCUUUCUUCCCAUUUCACUUUCGUCCCUCUUUCAUUCUUUUUCCCUCUCUCACUUCUUUCUCUUCUUCAUUCUUCUUUCUCUUACUUUCCCCCUUUUAUUCUCCCUUCUCUUUUUUCCUCUUAUUCUCCUUCCCCCUUUUACACUUCCUUUCCCUUUAUUCCCUUUUCAUUUUUCCCGUCUUUCAUUUCAUUUACUUUUCCCUGUUUCACUUCUUUCUCUUUCUCAUUCUUCUUUCUUUUACUUCCCCCCCUUUCCUUUUAUUUUCCUUUUUCCUUUUAUUUCCCUUUUUCUUUUUUCCUUUUAUUUUAUUUUUUUCCUUUUUAUUUUUUUUUCUUUUUUCUUUUUCCUUUUUCUUUUCCCUUUCUUUUUUUUUCUUUUCUUUUUCCUUUUCUUUUUCUUUUGUCAUUUCUUUUCCUUUUUCCUUUAUUUUUCUUUUCCAUUUCCUUUUCCUUCCUUUUCUUUUUCCUUUUCCCCUUCUUUUCCCCUUUCCCUUUCCCCUUUCCCCUUCCCCUUUCCCCAACCCUCCCCCUACCCCCUUUCCCCACUCACUUCCCCCUUCUCCCGGCACCUCCCACCCGCGGGGGACCAGCCCGGGGCGGCGCCGCAGCCCGGUGCCGGAGGGGCCCCCCUGCAGUGCCCUCGGUGCCCCGCAGCCCCACGGGGGCGGUCCGGGGGGCACCCCCGGGCCGUGCCCCCCCCCCCCCUCCGCGGGGAUCCCUCCAGGCCUCGGGCUCCCCGCUCGGCGCCGCCAACCCCCGCGGGGGCCAAUCAGCGCGCGCGUCACGGCGGGGCGCCCGCCCCCCCGCCCUCCUUCAGCCAAUCGCCGCGCGGGACACGGCGGGCCGGGCGCCGGGUGGGCGGGGCUUAGCGUGGCUGACGCACGGCGGCCGCGUCGUUGACGCAGGCGGCGCGGCUAAAUUUAGCCCGCGGGGCCGCGCGGCGCGGUGCGGUGCGGGCGGGCGCAGCUGCGGCUAUUUUUGUGCCGCCGGUUGGCGGGCCGGGCCCGCGCCAAAUAUAGGCGCGGGCGGGUAUUUAUAG
rnacentral:lncRNA from 1 species